UACGUAUGGAGCAAGCGUUAUCCGGAUUUACCGGGUGUAAAGGGGGCGUAGACGGUUACGCAAGUCUGAUGUGAAAGGUGUGGGCUCAACCCGCAAACUGCAUUGGAAACUGUGGAACUGGAGUGUCGGAGAGGUAAGUGGAAUUCCUAGUGUAGCGGUGAAAUGCGUAGAUAUUAGGAGGAACGCCAGCGGCAAAGGCGGCUUACUGGACGAUAACUGACGUUGAGGCUCGAAAGCGUGGGGAGCAAAC
rnacentral:rRNA from 1 species